rnacentral:misc_RNA from 1 species
CUUCAGAAGAACAUGUUUUCGAUCAAUUGGUCAUUCUAAUUUAACCACUUGAUGUGAUGUAAUGUUUAGUGUGUCGAUGGCGAAAAUAAUGAAACCAUGUCAAUCAAUUUUAUUCUGCUUUUCUCCUACAGGAAAUUAGAAGACGUGGUCUCAAUGUUGCAGUUGCUGGAAUCCCCAAGACAAUCGAUAAUGAUAUACCGGUUAUUGACAAGUCAUUUGGUUUUGACUCCGCCGUUGAGGAAGCCCAACGUGCUAUCAGUGCUGCUCAUGUUGAAGCUACCAGUUUUGAGAAUGGAAUUGGCCUUGUGAAGUUAAUGGGACGGGACAGUGGGUUCAUCGCGAUGUAUGCUACUCUUGCUAGUCGAGAUGUUGACUGCUGUUUGAUUCCAGAAUCCCCUUUCUAUCUUGAAGGAAGCGGUGGACUGUUUGAGUAUAUCGAACAUAGACUCAAAGACAAUGGACAUAUGGUUAUAGUCAUAGCUGAAGGUGCUGGACAAGAGCUAGUUUCCGAGAGUUUGAAAUCCACUGAUCCUUCAGGGAAUAAACUUUUACAAGAUGUUGGCUUAUGGAGC